UACGGAGGUUGCAAGCGUUGUUCGGAAUAACUGGGCGUAAAGGGAGCGCAGGCGGCUUGGUAAGUCUAAAGUGAAAUUCCAGGGCUCAACCCUGGACGUGCUUUGGAUACUGCUUGGCUUGAGUACGUGAGAGGAGAUUGGAAUUCCAGGUGUAGCGGUGAAAUGCGUAGAUAUCUGGAGGAACACCGGUGGCGAAAGCGGAUCUCUGGCACGUUACUGACGCUGAGGCUCGAAAGCAUGGGGAGCAAACGGG
rnacentral:rRNA from 1 species